rnacentral:sRNA from 1 species
CGUGCUGGUUCGAUCGGGAUACUCAUCAAUUAACGUUUGAAAACCGGGCCGUCUUCUCUUGCCAAUGGCGGGCCAUUAGCUCCGGCAAAAACGAGUCUCGCUUGCGAGCGGUCGGACAAAGCAUUCGUUUGCCGAUGGAUUACAAAGGCGGAGAGCACCCACAACCUGUGAUAAAGGAGUUUUCAUCACAUCACCUGUGCGUCCC